AUACGUAGGGUGCUAGCGUUAUCCGGAUUUACUGGGCGUAAAGGGUGCGUAGGUGGUCUUUCAAGUCGGUGGUUAAAGGCUACGGCUCAACCGUAUUAAGCCGCCGAAACUGGAAGACUUGAGUGCAGGAGAGGAAAGUGGAAUUCUCAGUGUAGAGGUGAAAUGCGUAGAUAUUGAGAAGAACACCAGUAGCGAAGGCGGCUUUCUGGACUGUAACUGACACUGAGGCACGAAAGCGUGGGUAGCAAACAGGAUUAGAUACCCUGGUAGUCCACGCCGUAAACGAUGAGUAUUAGGUGUCGGGGGUUACCCCCCUCGGUGCCGCAGUUAACGCAUUAAAUACUCCGCCUGGGGAGUACGCACGCAAGUGUGAAACUUAAAGGAAUUGACGGGG
rnacentral:rRNA from 1 species